UACGGAGGAUGCAAGCGUUAUCCGGAAUGAUUGGGCGUAAAGCGUCCGCAGGUGGCUAUGUAAGUCUGCUGUUAAAGAGUGAGGCUCAACCUCAUAAGAGCAGUGGAAACUACAUGGCUAGAGUGCGUUCGGGGCAGAGGGAAUUCCUGGUGUAGCGGUGAGAUGCGUAGAUAUCAGGAAGAACACCGGUGGCGAAAGCGCUCUGCUAGGCCGCAACUGACACUGAGGGACGAAAGCUAGGGGAGCGAAUGGG
rnacentral:rRNA from 1 species